rnacentral:rRNA from 1 species
UACGGAGGAUUCGAGCGUUAUCCGGAUUUAUUGGGUUUAAAGGGUGCGUAGGCGGCCUUUUAAGUCAGCGGUGAAAGUCUGUGGCUCAACCAUAGAAUUGCCGUUGAAACUGGGGGGCUUGAGUAUGUUUGAGGCAGGCGGAAUGCGUGGUGUAGCGGUGAAAUGCUUAGAUAUCACGCAGAACCCCGAUUGCGAAGGCAGCCUGCCAAGCCAUGACUGACGCUGAUGCACGAAAGCGUGGGGAUCAAACAGG